rfam:Firmicutes bacterium CAG:536 genomic scaffold, scf170
AAAGAAAUACGGUAGGUGAGGUUACCGCAGGGAUUUGGAAUUCCUAAGAUUGCUGCCGCAAAGUUGUGGAGACACAACUCGUUGGUCAACAGAUGAAGUCGUGAAGGCUUUAUUUAAUGCAAUUCAUAUGCCCUGCGAUACUAAAGCUUGAACGGUGGUAUAAGAAU